rnacentral:rRNA from 1 species
UACGUAGGGUGCAAGCGUUGUCCGGAAUUAUUGGGCGUAAAGGGCUCGUAGGCGGUCCAUCGCGUCGGGAGUGAAAAGCUGGGGCUUAACCCCAGUCCUGCUUCCGAUACGGGUGGACUAGAGGUAGGUAGGGGAGAUCGGAAUUCCUGGUGUAGCGGUGAAAUGCGCAGAUAUCAGGAGGAACACCGGUGGCGAAGGCGGCUCGCUGGGCCAGUUCUGACACUCAUCCGCGAAAGCGUGGGGAGCAAACAGG